rnacentral:rRNA from 1 species
UACCACCCUUUAAUGUUUGAUGUUCUAACGUUGACCCGUGAUCCGGGUUGCGGACAGUGUCUGGUGGGUAGUUUGACUGGGGCGGUCUCCUCCUAAAGAGUAACGGAGGAGCACGAAGGUUGGCUAAUCCUGGUCGGACAUCAGGAGGUUAGUGCAAUGGCAUAAGCCAGCUUGACUGCGAGCGUGACGGCGCGAGCAGGUGCGAAAGCAGGUCAUAGUGAUCCGGUGGUUCUGAAUGGAAGGGCCAUCGCUCAACGGAUAAAAGGUACUCCGGGGAUAACAGGCUGAUACCGCCCAAGAGUUCAUAUCGACGGCGGUGUUUGGCACCUCGAUGUCGGCUCAUCACAUCCUGGGGCUGAAGUAGGUCCCAAGGGUAUGGCUGUUCGCCAUUUAAAGUGGUACGCGAGCUGGGUUUAGAACGUCGUGAGACAGUUCGGUCCCUAUCUGCCGUGGGCGCUGGAGAACUGAGGGGGGCUGCUCCUAGUACGAGAGGACCGGAGUGGACGCAUCACUGGUGUUCGGGUUGUCAUGCCAAUGGCACUGCCCGGUAGCUAAAUGCGGAAGAGAUAAGUGCUGAAAGCAUCUAAGCACGAAACUUGCCCCGAGAUGAGUUCUCCCUGACUCCUUGAGAGUCCUGAAGGAACGUUGAAGACGACGACGUUGAUAGGCCGGGUGUGUAAGCGCAGCGAUGCGUUGAGCUAACCGGUACUAAUGAACCGUGAGG